ACCUAUCAUGAUAAUGGUUUGUAGAAAAUGGGACGUGACAAGUGUUAACGGCAGGUACAUGAGCACCGACUAUAUUGUCACUGACAUAAAGAUGGGGAUGGUUGUAAGCCCUUUGGUUCUUCCACACCUCCAUCGAUCCCCGCUAAAGACAAGGGGGUGCUACCCAUACCGACAC